AGAGUUUGAUCAUGGCUCAGAUUGAACGCUGGCGGCAGGCCUAACACAUGCAAGUCGAGCGGUAGCACAGAGAGCUUGCUCUCGGGUGACGAGCGGCGGACGGGUGAGUAAUGUCUGGGAAACUGCCUGAUGGAGGGGGAUAACUACUGGAAACGGUAGCUAAUACCGCAUAAUGUCGCAAGACCAAAGUGGGGGACCUUCGGGCCUCAUGCCAUCAGAUGUGCCCAGAUGGGAUUAGCUAGUAGGUGGGGUAACGGCUCACCUAGGCGACGAUCCCUAGCUGGUCUGAGAGGAUGACCAGCCACACUGGAACUGAGACACGGUCCAGACUCCUACGGGAGGCAGCAGUGGGGAAUAUUGCACAAUGGGCGCAAGCCUGAUGCAGCCAUGCCGCGUGUGUGAAGAAGGCCUUCGGGUUGUAAAGCACUUUCAGCGGGGAGGAAGGCGNCGAUUGACGUUACCCGCAGAAGAAGCACCGGCUAACUCCGUGCCAGCAGCCGCGGUAAUACGGAGGGUGCAAGCGUUAAUCGGAAUUACUGGGCGUAAAGCGCACGCAGGCGGUCUGUCAAGUCGGAUGUGAAAUCCCCGGGCUCAACCUGGGAACUGCAUUCGAAACUGGCAGGCUAGAGUCUUGUAGAGGGGGGUAGAAUUCCAGGUGUAGCGGUGAAAUGCGUAGAGAUCUGGAGGAAUACCGGUGGCGAAGGCGGCCCCCUGGACAAAGACUGACGCUCAGGUGCGAAAGCGUGGGGAGCAAACAGGAUUAGAUACCCUGGUAGUCCACGCCGUAAACGAUGUCGAUUUGGAGGUUGUGCCCUUGAGGCGUGGCUUCCGGAGCUAACGCGUUAAAUCGACCGCCUGGGGAGUACGGCCGCAAGGUUAAAACUCAAAUGAAUUGACGGGGGCCCGCACAAGCGGUGGAGCAUGUGGUUUAAUUCGAUGCAACGCGAAGAACCUUACCUGGUCUUGACAUCCACAGAACUUUCCAGAGAUGGAUUGGUGCCUUCGGGAACUGUGAGACAGGUGCUGCAUGGCUGUCGUCAGCUCGUGUUGUGAAAUGUUGGGUUAAGUCCCGCAACGAGCGCAACCCUUAUCCUUUGUUGCCAGCGGUNNCGGCCGGGAACUCAAAGGAGACUGCCAGUGAUAAACUGGAGGAAGGUGGGGAUGACGUCAAGUCAUCAUGGCCCUUACGACCAGGGCUACACACGUGCUACAAUGGCAUAUACAAAGAGAAGCGACCUCGCGAGAGCAAGCGGACCUCAUAAAGUAUGUCGUAGUCCGGAUUGGAGUCUGCAACUCGACUCCAUGAAGUCGGAAUCGCUAGUAAUCGUAGAUCAGAAUGCUACGGUGAAUACGUUCCCGGGCCUUGUACACACCGCCCGUCACACCAUGGGAGUGGGUUGCAAAAGAAGUAGGUAGCUUAACCUUCGGGAGGGCGCUUACCACUUUGUGAUUCAUGACUGGGGUGAAGUCGUAACAAGGUAACCGUAGGGGAACCUGCGGUUGGAUCACCU
rnacentral:rRNA from 1 species